rnacentral:pre_miRNA from 1 species
UUGGUUUAAAUCAUUGUAAAACUACACUUUAAAAAUUGAACUCACACAAAGUGGUGUGACAUACAUUCUUUGCAUCUAA